rnacentral:rRNA from 1 species
CGCGUGGGGCGGAAACGACACUAACAAUCCUUCGGGUGCGUUAAUGGGCGUCGAGCGGCGGACGGGUGAGUAAUGCCUAGGAAAUUGCCUUGAUGUGGGGGAUAACCAUUGGAAACGAUGGCUAAUACCGCAUAAUGCCUACGGGCCAAAGAGGGGGAUCUUCGGACCUCUCGCGUCAAGAUAUGCCUAGGUGGGAUUAGCUAGUUGGUGAGGUAAUGGCUCACCAAGGCGACGAUCCCUAGCUGGUCUGAGAGGAUGAUCAGCCACACUGGAACUGAGACACGGUCCAGACUCCUACGGGAGGCAGCAGUGGGGAAUAUUGCACAAUGGGCGAAAGCCUGAUGCAGCCAUGCCGCGUGUAUGAAGAAGGCCUUCGGGUUGUAAAGUACUUUCAGUUGUGAGGAAGGGGUAACG